UUUCCGUAGGUGAACCUGCGGAAGGAUCA
rnacentral:ncRNA from 2 species